GAUGAACGCUGGCGGCGUGCCUAAUACAUGCAAGUCGAGCGAAUGGAUUAAGAGCUUGCUCUUAUGAAGUUAGCGGCGGACGGGUGAGUAACGCGUGGGUAACCUGCCCAUAAGACUGGGAUAACUCCGGGAAACCGGGGCUAAUACCGGAUAACAUUUUGAACCGCAUGGUUCGAAAUUGAAAGGCGGCUUCGGCUGUCACUUAUGGAUGGACCCGCGUCGCAUUAGCUAGUUGGUGAGGUAACGGCUCACCAAGGCAGCGAUGCGUAGCCGACCUGAGAGGGUGAUCGGCCACACUGGGACUGAGACACGGCCCAGACUCCUACGGGAGGCAGCAGUAGGGAAUCUUCCGCAAUGGACGAAAGUCUGACGGAGCAACGCCGCGUGAGUGAUGAAGGCUUUCGGGUCGUAAAACUCUGUUGUUAGGGAAGAACAAGUGCUAGUUGAAUAAGCUGACACCUUGACGGUACCUAACCAGAAAGCCACGGCUAACUACGUGCCAGCCGCCGCAGUAA
rnacentral:rRNA from 1 species